rnacentral:rRNA from 1 species
UACAGAGACCCCAAGCGUUACCCGGAUUUAUUGGGCGUAAAGGGUCCGUAGGUGGUAAAGUAAGUUUUGAAUCAAAGCUCAUCGGCUUAACCUUUGAGAUGUUCAGAAUACUGCUAUACUAGAGGGCGUUAGAGGUUAACGGAACCGACGGAGUAGGGGUGAAAUCCGUUGAUAUCGUCGGGAACACCAAAAGCGAAGGCAGUUAACUAGGACGACCCUGACACUGAGGGACGAAAGCGUGGGUAGCAAAAAGG